rnacentral:rRNA from 1 species
AGCUCCAAUAGCGUAUAUUAAAGUUGUUGCAGUUAAAAAGCUCGUAGUUGGAUUUCUGGUGGGCACAGUCGGUCCGUCCGCAAGGACGCGUACUGGAGCUGUCGCCCGCCAUCCUCACAGAGAGGCCGUCUGGCAUUAGUUUGUUGGGCGGUGGAUCUGUGUCGUUUACUGUGAAAAAAUUAGAGUGUUUAAAGCAGGCCUUCGCUUGAAUACAUUAGCAUGGAAUAAUAAGAUAGGACCUCGGUGCUAUUUUGUUGGUUUGCACACCAAGGUAAUGAUUAACAGGGAUAGUUGGGGGUAUUCGUAUUUAAUUGUCAGAGGUGAAAUUCUUGGAUUUAUGAAAGACGAACUACUGCGAAAGCAUUUACCAAGGAUGUUUUCAUUAAUCAAGAACGAAAGU